CUCGCCUGCAUGAAGUCGGAAUUGCUAGUAAUCGCGGAUCAGCAUGCCGCGGUGAAUACGUUCCCGGGCCUUGUACACACCGCCCGUCACACCAUGAGAGCCGGUAACACCCGAAGUCAGUAGUCUAACCGCAAGGGGGACGCUGCCGAAGGUGGGGCUGGUGAUUGGGGUGAAGUCGUAACAAGGUAGC
rnacentral:rRNA from 1 species